GUGUACGCCCACGCCACCCUGAACGAGCCCGAUUCCGUCGGAUCUUGGGAGCUAAGCAGGGUCGGGCCUGGUUAGUCCUUGGAUGGGAGACCACCCAGGAAGACCAGGUGCUGUAGGAC
rnacentral:rRNA from 1 species